UCUACCAGCUGUGCAGGAUAGAGACCACAAAUUCUUAACAAAAGCUGUUGAAGAAGCAUAUAAGGGGGUAGAAUGUGGAGAUGGAGGCCCAUUUGGUGCAGUUGUUGUUCGUAAUGAUGAAGUUGUUGUGAGCUGUCACAACAUGGUAUUGAAAAACACUGAUCCAAUUGCACAUGCUAAGGUUACAGCAAUAAGAGAGGUCGAAACAGUAGCGCAGUUUGGUGUGAUUUUUCUUCUUUUUGCAUUGGGUCUGGAGUUCUCUGUAGCAAAGCUUCGUGUUGUCCGAGCAGUUGCUAUUUUAGGGGGCUUGUUUCAGAUAUUCUUAUGUAUGUGCUUGUGUGGAAUAACAUCAUCGGU